UGCCUCCUCGGCCACCACCCGCAGCACCUCACCCCUCCCCCAGGCCCCAGCCGGCCCCACGCCCCCACCCAGUCGGGCCUGAGCCGCCUGGGCCUCCACACUGACCGAGGGUGCGGGGCCCGGGGCCCUGCCAAGGUGGCCCGGCAGGUUCCCCGCCGCAGACCUGGGCCAGGCCCCGCGCGGCCGGCGAGCUCCGUGGUCCGGCUGGAGGCAGUUGUGCAGCCCUCGAGUGGGCUGAAUGGAGGACGAGUCCCCGGAGCUGGGGGGCCCCUCAGGCCAAUCAGGAGCGCCUCUCCAGAUACAAAGCAUCCCAAUCAGGCGGCAGCGCCCCGUUCCCACAUUCUUUGCCGUCACAAAUUGUCACCAUGGGGACCAUCACAAAAAAGACAGCUCCCAAAUGCAAUCAUUUCCCGGUAAAUUUCUACUCUUCAGCCCACUCUCCCCCGCGGCCUCCACGCCCCGCCUCCCCUUGACCUGGGUUCCCUGGUUUCUCGAGGGGGCGGGGUGAAUGCGUGUGUGUGUGUGUGUGUGUGUGUGUGUGUGCGCGCGCGCGUGUGUGUGCCUGUGUUUAAAAAAGUCCAAGAUUGAGGAGGGGCUGGGCCCCGAAGAGAUGGGUUUGCAAACCUCCCCCAAGGCUCCAGGCCUCCAGCUGCCAUGCUCCAGUGCAGACAGACAAUCGGACGGGCGUAACCCAGCCCACCCUGACUGGUACCAGCAGGAAACAUCCUUUCUGCUUCAAAUGGCCCUACACACAUGGUUGGAGAAAACGCUCUGUUGCCUGGGGUCUCUAGGUCAAGCCCCUGAAGAAUUCUCAUCAUGGCUCCCUGCUGCCUACUGCAUGGUGGGGGCAGGCACCCAGCCUGGCAUGCAUUCUGGUCCCUCCAUAACCCAGCGCCAGCCCAUGAGCCACCUUCCCCAUUAUUCUCUGCUGGGCCUCAAACCACCCCAGCCCCAUCCUGCCUGGGCUCCUGCACGCCCUGAACCUGCUCCUGCUGGCCUGCCUCUCUGGAACUUUCUCCCUUCUAAGAACAUCGAGAAGCUCUCGGGCAACUGCGCUCGGAUCUCAGCUUCCUCGGAGCCUCCAGGGCACCUGCGGUCACUCUAG
rnacentral:lncRNA from 1 species